GGUAUGAGCAGCCAGGAUAUUGAUAGGGGCAGUCAAGAAAAGAAUUCUACUGAAAUAAGGAUGAUGAAUUCCCAUGGACAGCUAGCAAAUUAUCUGAUGUGGGAAGCAGGUUCAGGAUUUCUGAACGAUGGAUGAUCCUGAUUGACAUUUCAUGUGACAGUUCUCAAUCUCUUCGUGAUUGGGAAAGUGGCACUUAUAACCACCAUCUACUGGUUGGAGUGCAGUGAUGCAAUCAUGGCUCACUUCAGCCUCUACCUCCUGGGAUCAAGCAAUCCUCCCACCUCAGCCUCUGGAGUCACCGGGACUACAGAUACAAACUUUUGAGACCCACCCUUCGUAAGAAAAAAAAUGCAGAAGAAAGACAAAUUGGAUUUCAUUUCAAGAAAAUUGAAAAUAAAAUUCUUCAUACUGGU
rnacentral:lncRNA from 1 species